UACGGGCCCUUUUCCACCCUAGAGUUCCACCUAUCGUUGGUGAGGACGCCACACUGUCGCUGUGGGACACGACCAGUUAUCGCAACCUGCCGAAGUCUGGUGCUCCUGUUACAACUUCAGGCCACGUGCAUGUCGCACCGCCUCCCUACCCUUACACUACUGCACUCUACACAGCACCCUGCGCUUUGUCCUGGCGGAGGGUAGUUAACCCCCUACGACCCGCUUCACCCGCUGGGGGAUUCCGCACCCCUCGUAGAGGUCACCAUCUAAGGCUCGUGCGAGGUUCGGCCUAGCCAUGCUACAGCAGCUUCUUGAUAGGUACUUUGCUUGGACAGCUCCAUUGACCUUGUGCAUCCAUUCCUCCUCCUCCUCGGCGCCUAGCCUUCUGGUGACGGACUUGUCAUCACAUACACCACGGGUUGCCCUGAGGAGAGCCUCAGAGGCUGAUACAUUAUCAGCGAACAAGUCUCACAACCCAUGGUGACGCCGGUGGGAUUCGAACCCACAUCUCCCACCGGUUAAGGUGGUGCUUUACCAAUUAAGCUACGGCGCCGCCGCUGUGCGGAAUGAUAUGAUGAGUUCAGGAGAUCAGGGACCCCGUCUCGGGCAAGCUGCCGGACAUUCAUAGGGCUAGCUGGAAGGCCAAGCACCGUGUCUUUAAGAAGGCUACUAGGAAGGCCGCUAUUCAUUAGACCGAAUAGGAUUAUAUGCGGAGGAGGAUUAAGGCCACCCUGUCCAACCCACGCGACUUGUGGACAUGGCUGCGUGGGGGAAAACCACCUCCUUACUCCUUGCUGGAUCUCAGAUAUAAAUGCUUUUACCGAGCAUUUUUCCAAGGUGCUUAAGGGUGCGGGAAACGUGAGGCAAGGCUGCAACGAGGGUAUCCAGUUUAAAUGGCAGGAUGAGGACCGGGUGAUGCACCGACAGGAAUUAGCUGCUUGGCUUAACAAGGAUUUUACGGAGGGCGAAAUUGUUAGCGGUCUCAAGGCUAUGCGCAACAUAGCCUGUCCGUGGGCCUGGAGGGAACCCCGGCCGAAUAUUAUAGGUACGCUAUCAGGGAGAGUGAAGGGCAGCGGCCCGUGUUUGUGUUGGCGCCUUACUUAACGGUGCUAUGCAACCGCAUAUACGGAGCUGAAUAUCCGCGAGCUGAUUAUUCAUGACUAUCACCCUUUUCCCCGUAUACAAAAAAGGGGACGCGUCCUGCUGCGACAGUUAUCGGGACAUUGCGGUUGGGGGCCCACUAUGCAAACAUUACGGCAAUAUCAUCGGGAGGCGACUUAUCAAUUACUGUGAGGGCAACAGGCUACGCGCCGGUAGCCAGGCUGGGUGUGGGCAUGGUUUUGGCACCGAGCACCACUUGUGUACCCGCAUCAAUACGACUAAUAUAACAUCCAUGGACCCCCGGCUUUUACGGACACACCCGCACGCAAGUGCGGGUUCCGCACGCAAUUGUGGAACUUGUAACUUGUUAGGGUUGAAAAUCCUUCCGAUGGUGGAAGGUAAAAGUGCCCCUAGUCGAUGGACGGUGGUGACCUGGGAUAAAGUUGACUUGUGCCCAGCAUAUUUAAGGUGAAGGGCUUCCUUCAUCCUGGGUUGAAGAAUACCCGUGUGGCAGAGUGGCCCGCCUGCGUCGUCCGGUUGAUAUACGAAUUUCUGCGUGUCGGUAGAUACGACCCAAGCACAGCACCACCUUUACAGCUCAAAUGACACGUGCCCCCCCUCGUGUAGAUAUUCCCUCCGCUGCUGCGGCUUCCGGCGGAAAUACAUAUCCCUCGCCUCUUCAUUUUUCGCGGCUGUAGCCUUGCCUGCCCCGACCUGCCUGCUGACCCCCGACUUGCUGUGUUGUGCCGCACACAGGCCUACGUGGACAUGUAUGCCCCGCUGGUGUUCACGCUGCUGCAGCAGUACCUGGUGCCGGACCGGCCUGUGCCCGCCUCCGCCGGUUGAGGGCAGUCUGGCCGACUCCCACUCCACUAGCUGGACCUGCUGGCUAAUGGACGGCUGGGUGGGCAGCGCGCUGCGGCACCAGCAUGGCCACGACCAGAAUGAUCCCGCCGUGCAGCUGGAGCGCCAGUAGGCAGCGCGGGGUGGUUGGAGUUGCGCUGGGUGACUAUUGGUCUCCAUAUUCUUCAAAGACGAAAAAAUGAUGGGUGUUAAAGACCGCCUUGGUUACUCGAGUCACUUGUAAAAUGGUCGUGUGGAGGAGGGUUUGGAACGGGAGUCUACUUGUGACAGAGCUGGGUGGGUGAUCGUUGACCGAAGCUUGGAAGUUGCGCUCUUGGCGCCAUUUUUAACAUUCAGUGGUCGUAUGGUGCAUAUGAUCAUGAAACAACGCCAACAGCAUGAAUGGCGUUGUGCAUGGGUUGAUACUAUUCGCGCGAGACUACUGCACCAAUGCCGAAGGCACUGCAGCCAUGUACUGCCUCAUGGAUGGAUGCUUUGUACACUCUUGGGGGUGGGACGUGGAUGUGAGGUUUCAGCUACGGCCUGGCGCGCCCUCCGCUUUCGUGGCAUGUUACAUACCGCAGCAGGUCUCGAUCUUCGUCCGGGUGUCAAGUGGACAUUCCUCCGGUGUCGUUGCAAGUUGCUUUCAAUCCGUUGUGAUGGUGAGUAGCGAUUUUGAACACGCAGUGAGGUGAGGAUUAUCGGUGUCACCGGAGCGAUUUGAGGUUGGGCGAAUGGCUGGGUUGGUGGCGUUCAAAAACAUUCAGAAAAGAAUGCGUCAUCGCAGUUGUGCAAUAGCUCUUUACAGCCUGUAAAUUACAAUGCAUUGCAGAAUGCAUUCCUUGGGAGAUCAAAAAGAUCGAUGGUUGCUGUGGGAUAAGGUGAUGUCGUACCCUGCUCUAUCUGUGGAUUGUUCGUUGUGGACUAGGAGACUAUCUCUGCAAGGGCGGAUUCGGUCGUGUAGGACGCCGUCCAGGAUUGCUUCCCGUACAGACAUGUUCGAUUACAGAAAUACACACAAAUUCAGAUGUGUUAAAAACAACUGAAUCCUGUGUAGUGUGGAGUAAGCCAGUUUUUCUAUGGCUUUGCACGGUGCGAACCUGACAUGGGUGCCUUUACAGCACAGCAGCACUCGACACCCCGCCACACGAUGUUCAGCACCUCCGCCUCCCGAAACGGUGCAGGCAGUCUGUGCCACCACCUCGCCAGCUAGCUACACGCCACGGCUGCAUGCCGCUGCAUAUGCAUGGCGCAAGCCCAGCCACAAGGGACUAGGAACAGGAAGAUGAGCAUCGGCGGCACUCGAAUGAGAAGUGGGGCAUGAGCAUCGAUGGAGGGGGGGAAGAUAACGACGCCGCCAGGCAAAUGCCACCACACCCGUCACCAAUGCCACCGCACCUGCCGCAGCCGCCACACCCACCGCCAACACCACACCCACCACCGUCGCCGCUACCGUCACCGCCGACGUCACAUCCAUAGCCACCACCUCCACCGCAGCCACACCCACCACCAACGCCACACCCGCCACCGGCACUGGCACCGCUGCCUCCUCAACCGCUACCACCGCCAUCGCAGACACACCCGCCGCCAACGCCACACCUACCGACACCGCAGCGACACCUGCCGCAGCCGCCACCGCCGCCACAUCCGACACAACUGCCACAACCUACGCAACCGCAACACCCGCCAACGCCAAUGCCAAAUCGUAAGCCAACGCAUCCAUCACCGGCGCCGCCACAACCGUCACCCCCGCACCGUCGCCACUCGAAGCGACAUGUGGGGGAUGAGGAUGGAUUGACAGGUGGAGAAGAGGACGACAGCUCCGCCGGCGGCUGCAUCACCAGAGGCGACGCCGCCGCCGUUGUUGCCGCAUUUGGCGGCACUCGAAUGACAAGUGGGAAGGAAGUGACUCGAAGUGACUCGAUGGACAGGUGAAGAAGAGGACGACAGCUCCGCCGGCGGCUGCAUCACCAGAGGCGACGCCGCCGCCGCUGUUGCCGCAUUUGGCGGCAAUCAAAUGACAACUGGGAAGGAAGUGACUCGACGUAUCUCGAUGGACAGGUGAAGAAGAGGACUACAGCUCCGCCGGCGGCUGCAUCACCAGAGGCGACGCCGCCGCCGCUGUUGCCGCAUUUGGCGGCACUCGAAUGACAAGUGGGAAGGAAGUGACUCGACGUGUCUCGAUGGACAGGUGGAGAAGAGGACGCCAGCUCCGCCGGCGGCUGCAUCACCAGAGGCGACGCCGCCGCCGCUGUUGCCGCAUUUGGCGGCACUCGAAUGACAAGUGGGAAGGAAGUGACUCGAUGUGACUCGAUGGACAGGUGAAGAAGAGGACGACAGCUCCGCCGGCGGCUGCAUCACCAGAGGCGACGCCGCCGCCGCUGUUGCCGCAUUUGGCGGCAAUCAAAUGACAACUGGGAAGGAAGUGACUCGACGUAUCUCGAUGGACAGGUGAAGAAGAGGACUACAGCUCCGCCGGCGGCUGCAUCACCAGAGGCGACGCCGCCGCCGCUGUUGCCGCAUUUGGCGGCACUCGAAUGACAAGUGGGAAGGAAGUGACUCGACGUGUCUCGAUGGACAGGUGGAGAAGAGGACGCCAGCUCCGCCGGCGGCUGCAUCACCAGAGGCGACGCCGCCGCCGCUGUUGCCGCAUUUGGCGGCACUCGAAUGACAAGUGGGAAGGAAGUGACUCGAUGUCACGCCAAAACAUGUGGAGCGCACAAAUUACGUGCCAUGACCGAGUUAGUCGCUAUCCGCAGGUUGCUAAGCCAACCGAAGGUAGUAAGGCGAACCGUGUGUUGAUUUAUUUGAGACUUUGGGUAGCGUAUAAGGCGCUUUCUGUUGUGAUUUGAGGAUGUUAGGUUGUCGUUCAUCUGUCGUUAGUCGGAUGAGCGUUACGCAUCCAGGGUAGGGCCGGGUGUGAUAAGGCCCGACGUGGAUCAGUCGGUACUUCGCCAUAAAUGCGAGUGCGAAGAGGCCAAACAUUUGUCGUUUGGCUCUCGAAGCAACUCUUCGUGAGCGUAUAGACCAUUAUAUUAUUGAAGAUAAUAUAAUUAUAGGAGGGUUGAUAGGACUGUUUGGUGUAAUAAGACUGCAAUCCUACCCUACCUAGAUACGCGCAUCAGAGCAGGAUAGAUAGAGAGUAUACGCACAGCACUUCAUAAGGUCCGCCCUUAGUGCUCCUACCUCUAGGCUCUAGGGAUCCGUUCCCAGCCCGUCCUCGCCAACUACGAUCGCGCUAAUCAAGUUAACGAAGCUGGAGUGAGCCAGCCAAGUCAAGCCGGAGCUUUAAGGAGAGCUCUUAUUGUAUUGUAUAAUCAUCAUUACCUACAGCCAAACGACCGAGAAGGUCGGCGAGUCGUCCUGAAGUAGGCGGCCGUAAGAAGUAAGGAAUCGGGCGCCAGUACCCCGAGUUUAUUGUGCAGCUAUUGUUGAAAGCGAUCCGUCGCUGUAUAUUCUUCAAGUGCUAUCACUUAUCUAUUGAGCUAGGCUUUUCGCGUCCGCGCACUAAGCCAACACAGCUCGUCAGCCUUUCGAGGCACAUCGAAUACGCAGUGUCAAUCGGCCUCAGGUUACUUCUUCGCCUGGUUCCGACCAGCGUGAGGAGCGCAGGCGCGUCAACCCUCUGGCGGCAGCCAUCCGUGGCAUUAGUGCCAUACUUGUCGUAUAUUUAUUUUCUUUUUCUUUGCCGCAAAGCUGCUGUUAUUGUCCAGCUUGUGAGCUUUUGGCGUGGUUGAUCUGGCUAGCAGUGAGUCAGGAUCUAUAGCCGAAGCACCCCUUUCAGUGCGGAGCUUCCGAGCUCCUGGGUGUUGUCAGGCACUCCACGCGCCCAUCGGGCACAUUUGUGUGAUUAUAUUAAGUGAAGAACCAGCUAGUGGUGGCUCUAUUGGUGCAUCCGUGUGCCGAGCCCUAGCUGUUGGAGAACUAUUAAUCUUUGCCAUACUCAGCCACCAAGCGCUCCGGUUGGUGUGUGUCCCAGGACUAUCGUACGUGCACACAGGCUCCGGCCAUACAGACUCAUCAGUGAGAUAGUGUCCCCGGACAUCACUGAACACUGCGCUCUCACUAGAGCCUUGUAAGAGUCUCAUCAUCUUUUGAGCGCUGGCAGACUCUCUACGUCGUGUCAAUCCCCACCGCUCAGCUCGGCCCCCAGGGUCCGUCGAGCAUUCAACUGCGCCAGCGCGCCCUAGCAAAGGUCACGCAAAGCAACAAAAGGAAGUGAAGAAGGGUCCGCCCCUCCCUGCUCAGCAGCAGCAGCAGCCUCACCCAGGACUGGAACCCGUCAGUGAGCAGCACGAGCAGGAGCAGGAGGUGCUGUGGCUUGAGAACCCUGAGUACUCCGGUACUGCAUCAGGGUUGGGCAACAGCCUCGCGUCAGAAGCACGCGUCGAGCACGCAGGCAGCAGCGGUGAUUUGGAGCAAGUGGACGCAGCCGAAGCAGCAGAGAGUGAACACAGCCACUCGCCUGGUUUAGAGCUAGGAGCAACUUUUCGGCUACACAGCCGAGCCUCCUCAGCAGUAACUUCGGUACCUCAGCAGUUUCCACUUCCAAGCAAACCCUCAGGAGGAUCCGUACAGUCUUCACCUUCUAUCAGCCCUUGGUACAGCAAUACCGAAAUGGAGAAUACAGACUCUUCGUGGUCGGGGCCCACCAUGCUCCGUUUUCGACACAAGGAGUUCCCUGCCUUCAAGCGCGGGGCGCUGCGUGCAAUGCAAACUCUGCGUGCACGCUUCCGGCUCAACAAAGGACAGGUGCCUGUUGAUGAAGCUCUCGACUUGAUCAACACCUUUCCUACACCAGGUACUAUGUACCACAUCUGGCAUAAGCAGCAACUACAUAUGUUAGUUAAGGAUGCUCGUGCAUGGUUCAGCCGCCGCUGCACUGCAGCUGCCCAGGCAGCUAGUGCAGAGGGAGGGAACAUGUCAGCGGCAGUGCACAAUGCUAUCGAACCAGCAUUGGAUGGUGAGAGCCUUCUCGAGUAUUAUCUCGAAAAAUUAGAUGAAUCUUUUGCUCAUCAGCGUAAGACAGCCAAGGUUCUGGAGUAUUUGUGGACUAGGCAGGACAACGGCUCGCCACAACUGUACCUGCAGCAAAUACAGGAGCUCGAGCCGUACAUUCGAGACUCAUACUCCAGUGCAGUUAUCGCGGAGCGCUACGUUGAAGGCCUGGAUCCAGCAGUAAGGGAGCGCAUCAGAACCAAGUAUGAGCUCACCCCACGUGAGGGAUGGUAUGCUCAACUCAACAGCAUUGCAACGGACGCUGAAACAAUCUGGAUCAACCUGCAGCAAGCCCAGGCCGAGCGGGAACGACAUUCCAGCAGCGACCACGCCUCCGGGUCCAAGCAAGCUAUUACAAGUGAGAGGGAGAAACGGCUGCACAAGCAGCCAAGCAAAAGCAAAGACAGCGGCUCCGGCCAGUCUAAGUUCUAUUGUAAGCACCACGGUGCCAACAGCUCCCAUGACAGCAAGGAUUGCCGGGUUCUAAACGGUCGCACAACAGGAGGUGGCAAGAACGCCGCAGCUACGGGUUCCCGUCAGCCGGAUGAAUUGGCAGCAAUGAUCACCGCAGCAGUACAGUCUGCAUUAGGCGCGAGUCAUGCUGCUAUGGUUUCUACAUCCGAGCAGCAGGCCCCAGCCACGAAGUAUGCUGCCGAUCAGCAAUGGCGGCAGAACCGAGGUGGCGGAGGCAAUAUCAACAAUGGAGGUGCCUCCAAUAGGCGUCCCCGCAUGUAUGAUGGUCCGCCCUGCGAGUAUUGUGGGCGGUAUGGCCAUGAUGAGCCAAACUGCCGAGUACUCCACCCACAAUUGGCGCCACCCGGCUGGGAGCCGCCUCUUAAGGCGCUCCAGGUGCUGUUCCAAGCUAACAAAGAGCAGGCACAGCAGAUUCGCGAGCGUGGCCUCUCACCCUUUUAGUGACAUGGGUGGGGCCUCUAUGGCGCUGGCCGCGCAUGCUCAAGAUCAGACGCUCAGUCCCGAUGCCCGGCGUCAGGAUAUUUGGGACGACGAAAUCACGAUUUGUCUUCUUCGCUCAGGUGAAUGUCCACCUGGCACCGACAUGGCGGAGCAAAAGCGUUGUGCUCAACGUGCACGCAAGUACCGUUUCCAAGGAGAGACACUCUAUCGCAUCGAGAACGACGGCAAGCCACGCGUCGUUCCGAAACCUGGUGACCACACUGACAUCAUCAAGCGCACCCACGCGCAGGCUGGGCACUUCGGGGUGCGGCGCACUACUGCGCUGCUUCUCACCAGCUACUGGUGGCAGGGGAUGCAUGACGAUGUCGCUUCAGUGGUACGUCACUGUGCAGCCUGCGAUCGUGUCAACACCAGCUUUUCAGCCAGGGCGCUGGAGCUCAACCCGCUGCCAAUAUCGGGUUUAUUCUACCGCUGGGGUGUGGACCUGUGUGGUCCGUUCAAGAAGACCCCCAGGGGUUUUACCUACGUAAUGAUUUGUGUGGAGCAUUUUUCUAAGUAUGUGGUUCUCAUUCCGCUGCCUGACAAGCAUGCUGAGCAGACAGCGUUCGCCUUCCAGCACCACAUUUUGGGCCGUUAUGGGGCCUGUGCUGAGGUGUGUACAGAUCAGGGCAGUGAGUGGAAAGCUGAGUUUGCGCAAUUGUUGAUUGAUUCGUUGAUAGAUCAUCGUCAGACCUCAGCGAACCACCCGCAAGCCAACGGACUGGCAGAGCGUGCUGUUCAGACUUGCAAAAACGCGCUCUGGCGCAUUGCACAUGCUGGCGGUGGAGUNNNNNNNNNNNNNNNNNNNNNNNNNNNNNNNNNNNNNNNNNNNNNNNNNNGCUGGCUGCACUUCUCAGCCAGUGCUGCGUGAGAUGCCUUCUGGAGUGCCAUACUGUGUUUCAGGGGUAACUGGAGCACCACCCAGAAGCAUACAGGAGAUAAACAGCGUCGAGCUGCAGCAACUGCUUCUCAGCAACCGUCCUGCAGCCGACUACUUCGCACGUAAGCAGCUCAUGUUUUAUUUUCCACAAGGUGCACUACGGUUCAAUGGUCAUGAACACCCCGAGUUUCGAAGCCUCCGUGACCACUGCGCAGACGUAAAUCUCAUAACACAGCGCGCCAUGCAGCGGCUGGGUUUGGUGCUCAUGCCCACACGCACGCACCUAGAUACGUCCGCCAGUGUUGAUGCCAAGCUUUUGGGGGAAAUUGACACGAGGGGAGUGCAAGUGACAAUGCUUCCGGGCACGAUACACGAGUUCAAGCUCAACCUCACUCAGACACUGGUGGUUGAGAACACGCCUCUGUUCGAUUUCUUGGUGGGCAACGAGCAAAUGCUACCUGUCGCGGACGCCAUCACCCAGUAUCCGACAGCGCAGCUCCACCUGUUUCCCAAUGUCAUCGAGAUUCCGGACUACACAAUUAGCAUCCCCAUGACACCUGCUCUGCGGUCUGCCGCAAGAGGGGUCACAGCUAGCCUUCAUUCAACAGCUUUCUGUACCAGGGCCAGCUCUCUUCCCAGCGAUAUGUCAACAGAGCUGGGGGGGGGAUGUGUUACCAACGACAGUCUGCAGCUCAUUCAAUCAGCCAGUACAACUGUACGGAGCGCAUGUGUUAGUCCCUGCAAUCACGCCAGCACCCCUACGGCUGCCUCUACCCAGGCGUCAGAGCACCGGUUGGGAAAGGAAGCAGGUCAGCACAACACAACACAUGUAGCACCUCAGUCUGCCAGCACACCCAGGUCAGCCUUGGUGCGGGCAGCAUCAGCGAUCAUAACUACGGUCACCAGCGUUACAUCAGCAGCUACCAGUACCGUAGCAGCUACGAUUGGAGCCGUAGCAACUGUGGCCACUCCUGUGGUCGUAACACACCAGGAGCCCUUGCCACCGCCCCGGCAAAGCGGCAAGAGGAAACGGGCUAAGGCCCUACGCACAAAAAGCAUCAGUGUCACCAAGCGCACAUGGACAAGCCUUGCAGCGCUCAGCAUGCUGGCAACGCUCCUGCUCUCUCUCGCUGCAGGCGCAGGCGCCAUGCAGGGCAAGUCGUUCGGCGCCUCAGGGGUAAAAAUCGCCACACAAGCCCUUUCCACAGGGGGGCUGCUCCUGAGCGCAGCCAGCUGGGUGCCUGAAUCCGGUGGUACGUCUACAACGCGCUCAGGCGCACGAUACCACGACGGGUUUGACUACAAAGGCUGGGGAAGGGAAAGCUACAGCCCAGCUGCUUCACUUGCCAGUGUAUCCUCCUUUACACCUGAAGGCAACAUGGCAGCAACAGCCUAUGAGCGCUACCAAAAGGAUCCUGAUGGAGGAUGGAUCUGGGGCAAUAGCAUUGCUGUGAGCGUGGCCUCUCACCCUUUUAGUGACAUGGGUGGGGCCUCUAUGGCGCUGGCCGCGCAUGCUCAAGAUCAGACGCUCAGUCCCGAUGCCCGGCGUCAGGAUAUUUGGGACGACGAAAUCACGAUUUGUCUUCUUCGCUCAGGUGAAUGUCCACCUGGCACCGACAUGGCGGAGCAAAAGCGUUGUGCUCAACGUGCACGCAAGUACCGUUUCCAAGGAGAGACACUCUAUCGCAUCGAGAACGACGGCAAGCCACGCGUCGUUCCGAAACCUGGUGACCACACUGACAUCAUCAAGCGCACCCACGCGCAGGCUGGGCACUUCGGGGUGCGGCGCACUACUGCGCUGCUUCUCACCAGCUACUGGUGGCAGGGGAUGCAUGACGAUGUCGCUUCAGUGGUACGUCACUGUGCAGCCUGCGAUCGUGUCAACACCAGCUUUUCAGCCAGGGCGCUGGAGCUCAACCCGCUGCCAAUAUCGGGUUUAUUCUACCGCUGGGGUGUGGACCUGUGUGGUCCGUUCAAGAAGACCCCCAGGGGUUUUACCUACGUAAUGAUUUGUGUGGAGCAUUUUUCUAAGUAUGUGGUUCUCAUUCCGCUGCCUGACAAGCAUGCUGAGCAGACAGCGUUCGCCUUCCAGCACCACAUUUUGGGCCGUUAUGGGGCCUGUGCUGAGGUGUGUACAGAUCAGGGCAGUGAGUGGAAAGCUGAGUUUGCGCAAUUGUUGAUUGAUUCGUUGAUAGAUCAUCGUCAGACCUCAGCGAACCACCCGCAAGCCAACGGACUGGCAGAGCGUGCUGUUCAGACUUGCAAAAACGCGCUCUGGCGCAUUGCACAUGCUGGCGGUGGAGUUGAGGAGUGGGACAAGCAUCUGCCGUACGUCAUGCUGGGCUACAACUGCUCCGUGCAGUCAGCAUCGCGUGUCACGCCGUACCAUGUCAUGCACGCAGUGGAGCCCACCAUUCCACCGGCGAUUAAGCAGCGUUUUGAAAGCGACGUGAGUUUGGAUGACCCAGAGGCGGCGGCAAGGUCUAUUAUGCAACGUGCUGCCGCGCUUCGUCGACAUAUGGCCGUGGCGGGCGGCAACCUACUCAUUGCGCAGCAUCGUGACACUCUUCGUUAUGCGCGCAUGAGGGGCGGAGCUGUUUUGCCACGUUUGCGUCGUUUUGAGAUGGGUGACUACGUGUAUUAUCGGAAUACCUCCGCUCGCGCCAGUUUGGAUCCUCAUGCCAAGCCGGAUAUUCUGCGGGUUACUGAGGUGAGGCCCUCCGGGGUGUUGGUGCUAGAGGGACGUUGUGGCAGCACGCUUACUGCCCAUGUCAGUCACUGUGCGCCCUGUCAUUUGCCCAUCGAUGACCACGUGGUCGACCCGCGAUUGGCUAGGCCAUCUCCAGGGCAUCCCUGUGAGGUGUGCAGAUUUCCUGAUGGUGAAGAAUGGAUGUUGUUAUGUGAUGCGUGCGGCACUGGAUGGCACACUUAUUGUCUUAAGCCGCCUUUGAAGGAGAUACCAGAGGGCGCAUGGAUUUGCCCAAAGUGUGAGUCGAAAGGAGUUAAUGCUGAAGCUUUGGAAGGGAAGUCGUCCGAACCUGCGCGGGGUGCAGCUCCCGAGCCACCCAAGUACCUGCACGACCUCCAAGGCGUGGCUGUUAUGAGAGAGUCUAAGGGAAGAGGGCGUCGCACCACCCGGUCGCUGGGUGUAGCAUCGUAUGCUGGCCGCAGGGGAAGGUCCCACGUGUUUCAGGUAGUGUACGACAACGGAGACGUUGAGGUGGUUAGUGUGAGCGAGUUGCGCAAUCGUGUAGCCCCUACACGCCCCUCUGCCAAGAAAGUGAUGGCGGGAAUCUCUGAGGCCAGGGAGCAUCCGUGCUCGGGCCUGUUCGAGCUUCACACGACCAAGGGGGUCAGCCAAGCGUUGGCCCGUGUGAUGCCGGGAGAGCACAGUCCAAGCAAAGUGGAGGCAUUGGUGACCGCCGGAAGUAAAGGCAUCAUGAGGAAGGAUCCUGUGAGGGCUGAGGAUGUUAGCGUUCUAACGCAAGCCGUCGCAGUUGGUUGUGUGGGAUCAGUGUUUAUCCCCUGGAAGUGGGAUGAGAAGGCAAUGCAGCAGUUGCGGGAGGGUGCCUGCACCGUUCGGUAUAUGCCCGAUAAGGCAACCCUCUACACGGCCCAGCCGCAAAGUUUUGCAAAGGCUCGUUCUGAUGGGGUCGCCAUGCCAAUCAUAGGGCUUGAUAUCUCUGAGGAGGUGAUGGAUGUGGUGUUGCCGGUGGCAUGUCAGCAUGCUGAGGUAGCUGUCAUCGCUGCUGUGCCGUGCACUUAUAUCACGCAGGCGGAUCCGGCACGUUUGCAUUGGCUCCGUGCUGUGCAACGGGACGACCGUUUGAGUGUUUUGCAAGUAGGAACUAAGUUUUGGUUGGUUGUGUUCAGCAAUGCUAUGUGGAAGCGCGCCCUGGUUAAGGACACAACGUGCGCCGUUCAGUUACUUUAGUGCCUUUUCGGGUGAUCUACCGCCAGCUCACCUAGCGCAAUCCGCACAUGAGCUGGGGGGGGGAGUGAUCCAUCCCCAUUUCUUAUGUCUGUUAGCACGUCAUAUGGCGUGACAGCUGUCACGCCAAAACAUCUGGAGCGCACAAAUUACGUGCCAUGACCGAGUUAGUCGCUAUCCGCAGGUUGCUAAGCCAACCAAAGGUAGUAAGGCGAACCGUGUGUUGAUUUAUUUGAGACUUUGGGUAGCAUAUAAGGCGCUUUCUGUUGUGAUUUGAGGAUGUUAGGUUGUCGUUCAUCUGUCGUUAGUCGGAUGAGCGUUACGCAUCCAGGGUAGGGCCGGGUGUGAUAAGGCCCGACGUGGAUCAGUCGGUACUUCGCCAUAAAUGCGAGUGCGAAGAGGCCAAACAUUUGUCGUUUGGCUCUCGAAGCAACUCUUCGUGAGCGUAUAGACCAUUAUAUUAUUGAAGAUAAUAUAAUUAUAGGAGGGUUGAUAGGACUGUUUGGUGUAAUAAGACUGCAAUCCUACCCUACCUAGAUACGCGCAUCAGAGCAGGAUAGAUAGAGAGUAUACGCACAGCACUUCAUAAGGUCCGCCCUUAGUGCUCCUACCUCUAGGCUCUAGGGAUCCGUUCCCAGCCCGUCCUCGCCAACUACGAUCGCGCUAAUCAAGUUAACGAAGCUGGAGUGAGCCAGCCAAGUCAAGCCGGAGCUUUAAGGAGAGCUCUUACUGUAUUGUAUAAUCAUCAUUACCUACCAUUUCUUAUGUCUGUUAGCACGUCAUAUGGCGUGACAUCGAAGUGACUCGAUGGACAGGUGAAGAAGAGGACGACAGCUCCGCCGGCGGCUGCAUCACCAGAGGCGACGCCGCCGCCGCUGUUGCCGCAUUUGGCGGAACUCGAAUGACAAGUGGGAAGGAAGUGACUCGAAGUGACUCGAUGGACAGGUGAAGAAGAGGACGCCAGCUCCGCCGGCGGCUGCAUCACCAGAGGCGACGCCGCCGCCGUUGUUGCCGCAUUUGGCGGCACUCGAAUGACAAGUGGGAAGGAAGUGACUCGACGUGUCUCGAUGGACAGGUGAAGAAGAGGACGCCAGCUCCGCCGGCGGCUGCAUCACCAGAGGCGACGCCGCCGCCGUUGUUGCCGCAUUUGGCGGCACUCGAAUGACAAGUGGGAAGGAAGUGACUCGACGUGUCUCGAUGGACAGGUGGAGAAGAGGACGCCAGCUCCGCCGGCGGCUGCAUCACCAGAGGCGACGCCGCCGCCGCUGUUGCCGCAUUUGGCGGCACUCGAAUGACAAGUGGGAAGGAAGUGACUCGAAGUGACUCGAUGGACAGGUGAAGAAGAGGACGACAGCUCCGCCGGCGGCUGCAUCACCAGAGGCGACGCCGCCGCCGUUGUUGCCGCAUUUGGCGGCACUCGAAUGACAAGUGGGAAGGAAGUGACUCGAAGUGACUCGAUGGACAGGUGAAGAAGAGGACGCCAGCUCCGCCGGCGGCUGCAUCACCAGAGGCGACGCCGCCGCCGUUGUUGCCGCAUUUGGCGGCACUCGAAUGACAAGUGGGAAGGAAGUGACUCGAAGUGACUCGAUGGACAGGUGAAGAAGAGGACGACAGCUCCGCCGGCGGCUGCAUCACCAGACAACUCCCUCCACGUAGUCAAGGGCAGGCACGUCCAGAGGCAAAUCCUGUGUGUGUGUGUGUGUUUUGGGGGCCCCCGGGGUUUGUGUGUGACAGUGGUGAUUGAUGGUAUACCGUCAGAAACGACAUCAAUUGCAACAGUAGUAGUUGCAGUACUGACAUCACUACUAGACGCAUCAAGACGACGUUAUCACUUCAGGACGCUCCGCCCACAUACACACGGCCGCAUGCAGCUUUCCUUCUUCUCUCUGCCUUUCUGUGUCUGUCUGUCUGUCUGUCUGUCUGUCUGUCUGUCUGUCUGUCUGUCUGUCUGUCUGUCUGUCUGUCUGUCUGUCUGCCCAUCCGUCUGUGGCGGUCCACAUGGGGCCGUUAUGUGACCGUUGUGAUGGUUUCACCUUUUGGAGCAACCGCUACAAUUCAUUAACACACACACACACACUCUUCCCCCAUGCCCACUCCCCCUUUCAACACACACACACACACACACACACACGGAGAGAGACCGACCUGCGCAAGGUCCUGGGAGAACACGGCCAGUCGUACUCCAUCCCCCAGUGUACGACUACCCGCCCAUAGCGGCAGGGAGCCCCCGAUGGCCUUUAGGAGGGUGGACUUGCCCGCGCCGUUGGGACCUAGCACCUGUACGGCGGGUUGGGGGGUUGGGGGGGUUGGGGGGUUUAAUGUUAGGGGGCGGGGGGGAAAGGGAUCAACAAGGAAAGGGGGAGGGGGCUUCCCAGGGGGCGAGGCGGGAAAAACACACCGGCAAGCGGCAUGUGAACCGCCGGUGAGCAGUGAGCGGUUCACAGCACCGCACUCAGCGCUCCCGCUGCUCCCCGCGGCAAAACGCACAGUGCAAGAAUGAGAAUCCUACCCGAGGUUGCGGCGGGGCUGGGACGAGUGUUCAGCACAACCCAAUGUGCAACACAGAGAGAAAGGCAGGGAGAAAAAACCCUGAUACAGACACACAGAUACACAGACACACAGACACACACAAUAGUCGACUUCGACACAACUCCCUUCAGCUCCCGAAGGAACCUCCGGGAGCACGUGGGGGCCUGGACUCCGCCCUCUGAAGUGAAGAGGGGGAGAGUGCUUCGGCGGUAACCGUUCCCGUUGGGGUAUACGGUUAGGUGCCCCCCUGGCCAGCAUCAGGCCCGGAUCGAUGUGUAACAUAUACAUAGACACAUACAUACAUCCAUACACACAUCCAUCCAUACUUACAUACACACAUACAUACCACCCUGUAACAACACACAUACAUACACAUACAUACACAUACAUACACAUACAUACACAUACAUACACAUACAUACACAUACAUACACAUACAUACACAUACAUACACAUACAUACACAUACAUAUACACGCACCAGCACACGCUGGCCCCUCCGGAUGACCAGGUUGAUGCCGCUAAGCAGUGGUUUCGGAGCCUCCUCCCCCCCCGUCACCCGGGCCCCAGCUUCCGACGGCGUCGGUGUCCCCGGGGGUGCGGGUGCGGGUCCCCAGCCCACCGCCACCCCACUGAGCUUUAUGGCCUCCGUGUAGCAAGGGGGGGCGCGGGGGAGCCUCAGCGCCACCUGACACGAAAAAGGGGGGAGGGGGGGAGGAGGGAGGGAGGGAGGGAAAGACGAACCACGAACGAGUGAAGCUGCUGCCAAGGAAAGAGUGUACGAGCUGCUGCCAAGGAAAGAGUGUAAGAGUGUAAGAGUGGGAGGGGGUGAGGAGUUUUUUUGGGGGGAGGGGGAGAGAGGCGGGUGAUUGGCAGGUGGAUGGGGGGGAGAGUCCGUGUGUAACUGAGACGGGGGAAGGGGAGAAACACACACGCACACGCACACGCACACGCAAAUAAAUAACAUUAUGUUAGUAGAAUGCAUCUUUGGUGGUAACCGGUAUGAGAGUGCAUAUCUGUCUGUCUGUCUGUCUGUCUGUCUGUCUGUCUGUCUGUCUGUCUGUCUGUCUGUCUGUAUAUCUGUCCGCAGCAAUACCUUGCGCGCGUCCCCCGCCCCGGUGGCUGCCGCCGCUGCCGGGAUUUCGGUUUGCGCCGCCUUGAGCUUCUCCAACAUCUUGGCCUUGGACUGGGCUUGGGAGGCCUGGAGGGGAGAGCGCGGGGGGGGGGAGGGAGAGGGGGAAGUGGAGGAGGGAGCAACGGGGUUCGGAAGGCGCGCGCGUGCGCGUGUGUGUGUGUGUUUGUGUACGCGCGUGUGUGUGUGUGUGUGUGUGUGCGUGCGUUGUAAGAGUAAAACACAGUAGUGUAGCAUUAACACCGGAAAAAGGGUACGACACAUGUGCAUCUGGAUAAACCGCCGUACAAGUACAACAUCAACACCACCGCCGCCGCCAGCGCUCUUCCGCCCCCUCUGCCUCCCACCUUGGAUGCCUUGGCUCCGAAACGCGUCACGAACUCCUCCAACUUGUCGAUUUCCGCUUGUUGGGCCUCAGCCUCUGUACGUGGAGAGGGGGGAGGUGUGCGUGUGCAUGUGUUGUGUGUGCGUGUAUGUGUUUUGUGUGUUUGAACUGAUAAUCGGAUCCAACGUACUCUAAACAGAAUAUCCUUGAGGGGGGUGGCAGCUCCCCUUCCCCCCCUUCCGACAAGUGCUCUACAAAACCCUGUAAAACCCACAUGCCCCUCACCAUUUCUCACCUCCAUAUCUUUUUCAAUCCCGUGCCGCGGAGCUCCCUCCCCCCCCUUCUCCCCCCUGCCCCAGCAGCUUCACUCGCUCGCGGUUCGUCUUUUCCCCCCUCCUCCGCCCCCUUCUCCUCCCUUCCCUGCCCCUGUCCCAGGCAGCAGUCAACUCGCUCACCCGCCCGAGCCUGCGCCUCCCGGGCCGCCCGCUGUUCUAAGAACUUGCGGAACCCUCCCACGUAGCCGUGCAGCUGACGGCCCCGGACCUCCAAAAUGCGGUCGCACGCGCUCUCCAAUAAGGCCUCGUCGUGAGACACCAGUACGACAGAGGUCGUGGGCGGUACACCCGUACGGAGGAAAUUGCCCAGCCACUUGCAGGCCGCGCUGCACGGAGGAGGAGCGGGGUUUUAGUAGCGGGGGAGAGGGGUGUAAAUCAGGGUUUUAGGCGGGUUUUAUGGGUUUCAGGGGUUUCAGGGGUUUUAGGCGGGUUUUAUAGGUUUUCGCAUGUAAUGUGAGCGCCUCCCGAGGUUGGUGGAGAGAGGCCACCCCUCUACCAUCCCCGCAUCUCGCCCAACCCCGACUAGGAGCUUCCUCUCAGCCUCACUUUCCCCCAACUACCCCCAACCACCCCCAACCAUUCCAACCAACUCCUUCGCACGUUCACCUCCACAGUCUCCUUAAGAAGCGCUCAGCAUGCUCGCCCCAGGACCCUGGUUACUUUCCAGCCUCUUUGCCUGGGCCCCCACCUCCCCCGCCAUAUACAUGUAUACAUAUAUACAUAUCACAUAACCCGUUACAAGCCAAAAAUGGCGUACACGUACCUGUCCAGAUGGUUAGUUGGCUCGUCCAACAGCAGUAACGCACCCGCUCCGGAACCGCCCUGACCCGCGGGACCCAGCAGGAGCCGCGCUAGGGCGAUGCGCAUCUGCACAACCAAGGUUGAGUGGGGAGUGGACCUUGGGGGUGAUUUAAUUUAACCAAAUUGGCAUUGAAAGUGGGGAAAUCUGUGCAUGCGCGUGCGUGUGUGUGUGUGUGCGUGUGUGCGCGUGCGCGUGCGUGUGUGUGUGUGUGUGUGCGUGUGCGUGUGCGUGUGCGUGUGUAUGCGCUAAGGGGUUUCCCCGGGGUUCCCGGGGUGACACACACGGUCAGGAGGCGCUUAAGCAGGAUAAGCUGAUUGAAACUGCUUUAUUCCUUGUAGGGAAAGGAGCUCCCGUAUUAAGCUGAAGAAUAGCGCUUCCCUUCAUAUUUCUCCUCGUCUCACAUGUCCCUCAUUCGCCUUUUCUUUUCAAUUCCCCCCCGCCCCCCCGAGAGGGGUCUCCCCCCCUCUUUUUCCCCCCCUUUCCCCCCCCCCCCCGAUUCCGUACACACCUGCCAUCCCCCGCUGAACUCGCUGCACCGCUUGUGGAACUGCUCACGACGGAACCCCAAACCCGUCAGUACGGCAGUGAUGGUGCGCUCACUCUCCGGGCCGCCUGCCUGCUCCCAGGCAUCCUGGGCGGCUGCGAGGCGGGCGGCGGCUGAUGUGUCCCCUGAACGGGUGGGGUUGGGUGGGGUUGGGUGGGUGGGUGUGUGGGUGAGUGUGGUGGUGAGUUUGGUGGUGAGUGUGGUGNNNNNNNNNNNNNNNNNNNNNNNNNNNNNNNNNNNNNNNNNNNNNNNNNNNNNNNNNNNNNNNNNNNNNNNNNNNNNNNNNNNNNNNNNNNNNNNNNNNNNNNNNNNNNNNNNNNNNNNNNNNNNNNNNNNNNNNNNNNNNNNNNNNNNNNNNNNNNNNNNNNNNNNNNNNNNNNNNNNNNNNNNNNNNNNNNNNNNNNNNNNNNNNNNNNNNNNNNNNNNNNNNNNNNNNNNNNNNNNNNNUGGUGGUAUGUGUGGGCGUGGCCGAGUGGAGCGCGUGCGGGGGUUUUGCGCCCCGGGGUGGGGGCUGUUGGCUCCUUCGUUAGACAGAGAACUACGAAGAAGCGGAAGUGGAAGUGGAAGUGGAGGUGGAAGCGGGUAAACAGCUAAAAGGCACUGCCCCGACAAUUACCUGGACCUCUCUCCCCCCCCCUACACACACACAAUCAACCCUAAGACCCCCCCGCUUCCUCACCCGCCGCCAGCUCCCGCUCGGCCCGCUGCAUGUCCCGCUCCGCAGCCACUAACCCGCUCAUGCGACUGCGGGCCUCCUGCCAAACUGUACGACGACUGCCGCCCACCGCAGUCUGCUCCAGGUACCCCACCUGUGGACGUACGGAAGUACGGAAGUACGAACGUACGGCAAAUACGACCAAGGAGUACCGCAACCAUACCCCUCGGGAUCCGACAGGUUGCUUGGUUGGAUGUGGAUGCAAUCAUAUAUGAUGUUCUCAUCGUCGUUCCCCCGUGACGUGGCGCGCGCUGUCGUACUACCAUAUAAGAAAUAUAGUUGGGUUAAUCAGCUUCUUCGAAGGCAAAAAGGGCCAAGAGUGGGCCAAAAACGGCCCCAGUGCAGGAUGCGAUUGUUUUGCCGGAGCAGCAGUUCGCAUGUAUGGGCUGCUGGCGUGUGGCCGAGUGUGUGGCGGUGAGCUGAGCGGUAAUGUAUGUAUGUUUCAUUGUUGCUAACGUGGUUGUGGCUGUUGGUGUGGUGGAUUUGUGAUGGUGAGUUGAGAAUGCGCUUUGAGGCCGGGGGCCCCGACUGGGAAGCCAAAGCUAUGGCCCGCGGGAAGCUAUUUUCGCGCACAGAUUUACGUGAAUUGAUUCUUUCGGUGAAUUGAUAAAGAUAAAGAAUCGCGCAGCUUUUGUAUGCAAUUCUCAGUCACCUAUCGAGCGACAAAUAUUGUGCUCGUUAUCGUACUGCCGUACCUGUACGGUAUGUGAAAUUCGCGCCAUUCCCGCGUCCACAUGUCUCAGCCCGGCCAGGCAGCGCAGCAGCGUACUCUUGCCGCAACCGUUAGCCCCAACUAACCCAGCUCGCUGACCUGGCAUCAGCCGCCACGACACGUCCUGUGUAUGUGUAUGUGUGUGUGGGGGGGAUGUUGCCAUAUCUAGACGUGUGUGUGUAUGUGUAUGUGUAUGUACACACACGCACACACACGCACACGCAGGUUGCUGGUCGCGAAAUUGUGUGUUUUAGAUGGUAACGUUACCAUCGGAGGACGAUGGCGGUGUGCGCUGGGGGGAGACGGCGAGCGGCGGGUGGGCGAGGUAGCUCAUCGCUACUACUGUACGGGAGCACCAUCUGAAAGCUUCGUUGCGCCAACCAUGUCGUCAUCGUCGUCGCCGUCGUCGUACGGCAAUCCUCCGGUGGUUUCCCGCCUCUGCCUCUCGGGCGCCCCCCCCACAACCGCCGCUUGUUCGGCUCACUUUCCCACCACUUCCCGUCGUACACACACACACACAGUGACCCCAUGCCUCCCUCCCUCCCCCCCCCUCCCCCCCCCUCCCCCCUCCCCUACACUAGCUUCCUGCCCCCCCCCCACAUCCAACAGCCCCAACAGCCUUACCAGCCAAACACACACACUCCACUCUCCACACGGUUAAUUCCCCCACCCCCUCCCCACCCGAUCCCCACCCACACUGAGUAGAUCUCGGUCUCCCGCUUGCACGGUCACCCCCUCCAGGAUAAGAGUAGCGCCAGCCGUCUCGCCUGUAACACACACACACACACACACCGCCCCGGUCCCCCCCCCCCGGUCCCCCCCCCCCGAGGGGAAAAAGAGGACAUCAGUACGAGAGGUGCAUCGGACAGAAGGUUCGGAGGGAACAAAGUUCAAAAAGGGGGGUUAGCCCAUGGGAAUGGAAAGAAAGGUGGAGGUGCACGGUGGUGGUGAUGAUGUUGUGGUGGCGGUGGUGAAGGCAGGGAGAACUGGAGGAGGAGACGGGGAAUCAGACGCUGCUACUGCUACUGCUACUGCUACUGCUAGUGCUACUGCUAGUGCUACUGCUAGUGCUGCUGUUGAUGAUGAUGGUUAAGGAGUAGAGAGGAGAGUGACUGAGUGCGGGAUCACCCGGCUGAAUGAGGCUGACACCCAGACCCCACCUGAUGCGAGGUACUGCUCCGGGGGGGGCGCCUCCUCCUCCAAUGCCCCCCACGCCCCAUUCCCCACCUCUCACCCCCCUUUCCCAGAGAGAGCUCAUACGGUUGCGGGGGGGACGUGUACGAACGCAUACACACCUCGCGGCACAGGCAGGUCCGGCGGCGGCGCCAACUCCUCAUCCAUGUCGUACGGCUGCUCGUCCUGCUCGUCCACGCUGCUCGCGUAACUGCCCGUGCUGCUGAAACCGGCGGCGGCGGGAUGCGUCAUGAGUAGCGUGGUGGCGGCUGACGGCGGUCCGGCAGCGGGCGCCACCCGACGAUGGGCGUGGCGGGGACCGCUGCUGGCGCGGUAACCAUGUAGCACGUGGCGUACGGAGCCUCCGGAAGAGGCCGACAGCGGCGGAGUGGAAGGAGGAAGAGCACGGCCUUGUAGGUUAGGGGGGACGAGGACGGGGCUGGGUACGGAGUGCGGCACGGCAUUUGCGGAGGCGCGGACGGCAAGCGGCUGCCGCGAAGCGGCUCGGGAGACGCCGCUAUUGCUGUGGGAGGGUCGGCGGGCUGCAGCCGGCAUGAUGGUACUGGUAGGCGCACCAGCAGCAGAAUUGGCGGAGGCGGAUGUGGCCAUGAAAGCAAAAAGGGCGGGGGUCGGCGGGUCAAGUUGAGGCCAGCGAACGGAUAAUGCUGUUCAAAUAUUGGGUUUGUCAGCAAUGAUGAUUAUUCUGGGGCUAAAGACCCCGCGGUGUCUGGACGUAUUUCCGGUCUUGUGGCUGGCCGAGAAUUGCUCAAGCAUAGCGCAGGUCGCCUUACAACCACAAGAUUGAGAUUGGAUACUAAUCUAUAUUAUAAAUGUAGAUUAUUAUGUUAUUAUUGUGGAGACAUUUCUGCGCACCAGCGAUAUAAAGGCGUGCAAGCCUCAAUUCAGCUCCGUCGCACGCACGAGCAGUCCUUAAGGCAAGCCUUCAAUAUAAUUUGUAGGUAUUAAAUUAUUAGCUCUCUGUAACUUCUAGCCUUGUGAAAUUGGGAUCUUUGCCCGUCCGGCUGCGUGACUUGCUGAACCAACCCUUUUAAGCUCUGCAACCCACUUCAAAACAGCUGCUAAGGCCAGAGUUCUACAGUUGCCUCGUACCCUAAGCCUUUGGCAAAAGCCAUUAUCACUUCAUCUCAGCAACGAACCGAUUUAACCGCCUUACGGUUAGCUUCAUGGUCAACAACUCAAGUUGAGUUACUCAACAUCACAACAACCCCCAAACCUCACAUAAUAUUAAAAAUGCCAUAUUUUGUUUGUUAUCCUACAAACAGCGCCGUGUUGUGUCACUAAAUGCACUACACAAGGAUCUUCCAUUUCUAGCCGUCGUCCUCGUCCUUCAGCCAAGGCGACGAGUGUCAUUAUCAGGAGAAUUUACGGUGGAUAACCACUUAUGUUACCAAAAAGAUGAGUGCGUUCCGCCGGGUGAAGAUACAGCGUUGCGUGCGACCCUUGGGUCCCUCAUGCAGCCAGCAGUCUUGUUAAGUAUUGGUAUCCCUAGAAUUAUUUUUUCCAUGCAAGUUAAGCAACCUCUGGUUGGUUACUCUUGGUUUUGGAAGCCUUCUUGCUUUACAUAAGACGGUUCCAAGUUGUCGUUGCAUCUUGUUUUCAUUGUAAGAGUGGGGUUUAAGUUAUUAUAAUUACAAAAAAAACAUAAUGCGCUUAAAGAAUCUGUACUUGCAUACGUGGAAAAGUUUGCAGGACAGCGCUUAACCGCUGCCCCCCGGCUGACGCAGCAGGGCCCAAUGCGCGGAGAAAUGAAAUCGACGAGCUGCCCUCUUGGCUUCAUUCCAAAACCUGUUUACUCUGACAUAAGUAUCUCCCAAAGAGGCGAGUCCAAUUGCCUUCCCAGCCUAGUGUCGACAAGUUGCAAGGUGCGCCGGAACGGCCCUAAGUGUCGAUGGCUGAGGGCCGUUGGGUACCGCUAUCCGAAAUUUGAGACAUUUCUGCAUACGUCGUAUUUAAGCUUUAAGUAAUUCGUCUGUCGCAUGGUGCCAAGGCGCCAGCCGCAGCGGACGACAGAACGCUCGCAACUCACUUGUUCCAGAACCCCUCGGCAAACGCGACUCGCAGGCACUUCAAUCAUCACCGGGUAACGAUGGGCCUCACCGACAUGCUCUCUUCGGCCGUUCGUGGUCACACCGGGCUGCACUACAUGCCAUCCUUUAACGACUUCGUCUCCGGGGCGGCCGACGAUGUCGAGGCCAUGGAGCUGCAGCACGACCAGCAGACCCGCAUGACACCGCUUACCAGUGACGCCCCGAAGCCUGUUAGCAACAAAACGGACGACCUGCCUGCUAUGACUUCGACCAUAGGUGACAUCCACAAGGUACGUCGAAAUGUGUGUGGCUGAAUGGCUGGUUGGUUUCUCUUAUUUUGCUUGGUAUAUUUAAGUUCCCUGAUUAUAAGGGUUACACAGGAAUAAUCCUAAUUCUAUGAAAAGACGCAUGUUUUUCUCCCAGUCGCCAAGGUGGAGACUUGACAGGCUGCCUUUCCUAAAGCCUUGCAGACGCUUGGGAAGUCACCAAGUCUCCUUCUAUGAUAUAGUUGUAACCACCGGCUUGGCAUCUCCCAAAUUUGACGAUGUUACACUUUCUGUAGGUGGCAACACUACUCACUACUCGCUACUGCAUAAAUGGCAGGAGCUUAAGGGAGGGGCCUCUAAUCCAACAAGAAAUUCGCACUGUGGGACAAUUUCCCCAGGAAAGCAAGCUAGGAGUUUCCCGUACUGAAUUAGGAUGCAGCACCGAAACCAUUUAAAGCACCGAGACCAAGCUGGCGUUUUAGCAUGCAACUAACAACCGCAUACUACAGUAAAGCCACAAGCAGCAGAUACAUGUACAAGAAUUUAUGGUACAAACAAAGCUUAUACAUGACUCCGAACAGAACACCGCAGAAACACAGCCAGGUGGCACGAAACUCCUUGGCAUUACUGCUCUGCUCUAGCAUGCAUCAUGACGCCAUGGCUGGAGCAAAGAACACGCUUUUUGUGAUCCACCUAUAUACGCCAACUCAAAAUGGGAAACAAUCAGUAAAAUGCGUGUGAAGAUUGCCAUCAUCUCCUCCUGCCCGCCAAUCAGGCUGAGGCCAUGGUAAUGUCAAUAUAUUCCUGGGGAUGGUGUGGCGGAAAUGGCGAGAGAUGUAUUAUUGGUACCGAGGUACGGAUGCAACAGCAUAUCAGAGGGUGCAUCGAUGGAUCCCCCAACUGUGGCAACAGGCUGCCCAUGCGGCGAGCAUGUGAACAUGUAUUUUUGUUCAAUUAGAAAACCAUGUGCCCAUCAUGCGGUGCGCGCGUGUUCGCACCUGGUGGCUGAUGCGGCUGUCAUUGUCACGGUCCGCCUCCUGCACCAUGGCAUCCGCCUGGGUAGGAGUCACGUUGAAAUGCUGAAGCGCCGACAAGGACGGACACCACAAGAAGAAGAGGAGGACAGGACGGAAUGUUUAGGGCAGGUGGUCAAGGGCGGUUGUUUACAUCAAAAUGCACGGGACCAGCACGGACAGGAACAGAGAGGAGCGAGAGGAAAGACAGGGCUCGCAGGAUCAAGAAAAAAUCUCCAUGUUGUGAUAACAAGGAGGGACCGAUAAAAUAAAUGAAGGGUAAUUGGUUAGUCCCGAGCCAUAUUUUGCACGUAAAGAAAAAUUUAUUGAGACAGGAGCUCCCAUGCUUAAGAGGAUAUGUUUGUCACUCUUUAUUAUAAACCUGCUAUUUACUUCGCGGUCCUCUUUGCGGCCUGAUCGGAUCACCUUCCAUUCCUGCAGCCCCGCAAAACAC
rnacentral:lncRNA from 1 species